GUGCCCAGCUCCUCAGGGGCUGAGUUCUGGGGCUGUGCUUUGCCCUGGGUGAUGCCCGGGCAGGGAAUGCCCCACACAAGGUGGAGAUCACCUCCCUGCUGCCACGUGGGUGGCUGUCUGACCAGGAGAGGAGGCAGAAAGGUGCCCAGCUGGCACUUGUCACUUCUGCCUGCAGGCAUCACGGACGUGUCACUGGCACAGCAAAAGGGGAACAAUGUUCUUUUUGGCUGGAUCAGGCUGUUUUCUCUCUCCAAGUACCACAGGCUGACAUGAGGUGCUGCUGAACACUCAGUCUGGUUUAUCUUUGCCUCGGUGAACAAGGGGGAAAGGCACUUUUUUUAAUUAUAAAGAAAGUGUUUGUAGUCUUUCGUGCUGGCAGAGCCUUGGCAACAGAUCUGGUGUGCAAGGUAUAUUUUGACUUGGUUUAGUGUCUCUCUCAGGCUGCUGAUGGCUCUCCUGCAUCUCCCAUCCAGCCCUCCAGGACUUGUCCUGCAGCCAGCGAGGAUCCAGGUCGGUGCUGGGGAGCAGGGACUGUGCUGCCAUGGGGGUCUCCACUGCAGUCCUGCCUCUGCAGCCAAAGCAGAUGAGGGCAGUGCCCUCUGAAGCAGGAGGACACCUCUGUGUGGGCCAGUGUCCUUGGAUGAGGGAGAACGGGAGGAGAAGAGGGCCAAGGCACCCCUGGAGAAGUCCUGCAGGCUCCCAGCUUGCCAUUUGUGCCAGCCUGGUGAGUUCAAGGGUUUGAUGGCUGCUGGUGGUGUGAGGUUUAUAUGAGGUUUCUCCAGGGCCAAGCUCUUCCAUUUGAUGCCCCUGGGAUGCGGGCAGCACGUGCUGUGUCCUGCUCGCAGGAGAUGGGGAGGCUUUGCAGCAAUGCCCAGCUGCUGGGCGGGCAGCAGGAGCCAGCAGCACCCCACAGGAGCCUGCACGGGACUGCAGGAGGAGGCUGCAGGCUGGAGAGGGUUGGGUUGGACUCGAUGACCUUGAAGGUCUCUUCCAACCCAGUCAUUCUGUGAGUUCUGUUCAGCUGGGGUUGGGCUCUUUCACCAGGCAGCACUGACAGAACCAGAGGACACGGUCUCCAGGUGUGCCAAGGGAAAUAUAGGUUGGA